rnacentral:rRNA from 1 species
GACAGAGGGUGCAAACGUUGUUCGGAAUUACUGGGCGUAAAGCGCGUGUAGGCAGCUGUGCAAGUCGGGUGUGAAAGCCCUGGGCUCAACCUAGGAAGUGCACUCGAAACUGCAAAGCUGGAGUCCUGGAGAGGAAGGCGGAAUUCUCGGUGUAGAGGUGAAAUGCGUAGAUAUCUGGAGGAACACCGGUGGCGAAGGCGGCAUCCUGGACCACGACUGACGCUGAGUGAGCGAAAGCCAGGGGAGCAAACGGG